rnacentral:ncRNA from 1 species
UUGGACACAACUAUAAUGCUCCGAACAACAAGCGAUAACGAAAACAUGACAGUGCAUAUAUAUAUAUAUACCUAUUCUCAAACUUUGAAUGGGUGAGAAGCCUGACUCGCCCAAACGGAGUCAGGCGUUGAAUGUGAAUGCCAAGUGGGCCAUUUUUGGUAAGCAGAACUGGCGCUGUGGGAUGAACCAAACGUUCGGUUAAGGUGCCUAACGCGACGCUCAUCAGAUACCACAAAAGGUGUUGGUUGGUCUAGACGGCAGGACGGUGGCCAUGGAAGUCGGAACCCGCUAAGGAGUGUGUAACAACUCACCUGCCGAAUCAACCAGCCCUGAAAAUGGAUGGCGCUGGAGCGUCGGACCUAUACCGGACCGUCACUGCAAGCUGAGUCGGUAAUGUGUGGUGUGAGGUCAAGUCACACGACUCAGGCACGGAAUUGUCAUGACGAGUA